UUCAUCUUAAUCCUCAACCAAUACUGAGUAAUUCUAUAGCAUUAUAGAAAUUUUUAUGUUAAAACUAGUAACAA
rnacentral:tRNA from 1 species